UUUUUUUUUUCUUUUUUUUUUCUUUUUUUUCUCUUUUUUCCCUUUACGGGACAGAGGACCCACAUGUCCUCUAUCUUCUUCUUCAUUCACGGAAUAGGGGGCAUUUGCUCCCCUUUGUUCUCGAUGAGGAGACCUUCCCCCCUCAUCGACCACCACUCAGACCAAUGGGGCAGUCCCUGACGAUGCUGAGCGGUUGGGUCCAGUGACUGGCAGCAGCCAAACCUC
rnacentral:lncRNA from 1 species